UAAAGGGCCGCGGUAUUUUGACCGUGCAAAGGUAGCAUAAUCAUUAGUCUUCUAAUUAAAGGCUGGAAUGAAUGGUUGGACGAGGUAUUAGCUGUCUCACUAAGAUAAAUUAGAAUUUAGCUUUUUAGUUAAAAGGCUAAAAUAAGGUUGGAGGACGAGAAGACCCUAUAGAGCUUGACACUAAAUAUAUUUCGCUUGUUUGGGGACGAGUUUAGUUUUAUAUAAAAAGUGUUUCGUUGGGGUGACGGGAAGAUAGAAGAAACUCUUUUUAAUUUUCUACACAAAUGAGUGAGUAAUUGAUCCAUAAAUAAUGAUUAGAAGACUAAGUUACCUUAGGGAUAACAGCGUAAUCUUUUUUGAGAGUUCUAAUCGACAAAAAGGGUUGCGACCUCGAUGUUGGACUAAGGGUUAUUUUUGGGUGUAGCAGCUCAAGGUUUAGGUCUGUUCGACCUUUGAAUCCUUACAU
rnacentral:rRNA from 1 species